rnacentral:rRNA from 1 species
UACGAAGGGUGCAAACGUUGCUCGGAAUUAUUGGGCGUAAAGCGCACGUAGGCGGCUUAGCAAGUCGGAAGUGAAACUCCCUCGGCUCAACCAAGGAAGUGCUUUCGAAACUGCUGAGCUUGAAUACUUAAGAGGAUCGCGGAAUUCCCGGUGUAGAGGUGAAAUUCGUAGAUAUCGGGAGGAACACCAGUGGCGAAGGCGGCGAUCUGGGAAGAUAUUGACGCUGAGGUGCGAAAGCGUGGGGAGCAAACAGG